UGAACGAAAUUUAAUUUAUUGACAUAGUGAACCUGACUAAUAUGUGAUUUUGCACAAUUUUUUUGUCAAUGAACUGCGUUCCCUUGUUCGAACACGGCCACACCAGAAUUCCUUUUGAAACACCAACUAACAAUUGAUAAUGGAAAAAGAUGAAACAACAAUAACAACAACAACGUAGCCCAGCAGACGUACCAAAUUUUCCGUAACUAUGACGUCGAUCGUGACCGGCUGCUGCGUGGCAUCUUUUAGAAGGGUGAGCAGGAGGAGAGCAUAUUUGGCUUCAUCGAGCACGUGUUUGUGCACGCUCACCCGAGCAGCGGACUCGCGCAGUCUCUCGCCUCGCCGAGCGAAAGCUUCUACUCGCCAUCCGAGGGAUUGCUCAGCGUGAGCGUGAAGCCGGGGGCGUCGGGCGGGCAGCAGCUCGCGGGGCAGGUGGAGCAGCAGCUGCUGCGGGAGACGAGCGCGACGCUGGCCGCGUUCCUCAAGACGUGCAGCGUGCGUCGAUGCGUGCGCUCCCUGCCCGUGCUCACACGCCUCGUCGGUACCUACUCUGCCCGCCAGAGUGAGUGCAGGGCACUGUUCGACGGCAUUGUUGCGAUCGUGUCCAUGGUUGGCCCAUGCCUAAUCACCAUCAGCAGCAGCAGCAGCAGCAGUAGCAGCAGCAAAAGCAGCAGCAAUAGCAGCCAGGGGCCAGAAAGCAUCAGGCAACAUUGUACGAUGGCCCUCACUGAGAUGGCACGUCUUAUCAGAC